CCGGUCUUUUAUCUUUUGAAUCUCCUGGGAAUGGUUGAAAACGAUCAAUAGUGUUGCAUACCAGCUCAAGAUGAACCAUAUAUGGUUAUAUAACCCCUUUGUAUAUUGGUGAUCAGGGGCCAUAGCAAGAUCCAAGGAAAAGGAAACAUUUUUGGUGGCAAACCAUUUUAUUAAGCUGACAAAUAAUUAACAUCAUUUUUUCUUAUGCAUUUUUAGCAGUGACACUGUUGGCAAUGAAUUAAUCACAAUUAUUUUAAUAUUUUUAAUUUGAACAUGCACUACCUGAAUUUAUGCGGAAUGUAGUUGCAGAUAUGAAAGAGCAGUGAUGCAAUAUUAUGGCACACCAGACAAACAGUGGUUGAUUGGCCUUAGUACAAAAGUCUUUCAUAAUUUUCAAAGAACCAGUAUCAUCCUGGAUGCUUUGCGUGCCUCGUAAUACUUAUUCAUAUGAAAAUAUUUUGGAGUGUCGAUCAGACUAUAGAGAUAUUGUCAAAAUAGCUUUGCUAAGCUUUCAACAAAGUAAGAAAUUAGGUCAAGUUUCAAAUCUUGCAUGGCUAAAGUGAGUGUUCAGAAACAAGUUCUUCUUUUCAAAACAAAGAUGAACAAUUGCAAAACAUCUGGGAUGAUACUGGUUCUUUAAGUCCAAGGAAGAAAUAGAAAUAAAAAGAUGCAAUCACAGCAUAUCAAUGGGUGUGGCUUUUCUUUUUUUUCUUUCGGCAGUGYAAUCAUUUUAUAAGAAGAUUGCUUUGUUUGAUCAUGGUUUAAGAUAUUAAAACAUUGAAUCUUGUUCUUCAAAGAUACAUAAUGUACUUUACUUGGUAAUUGUCAGUGUCUGGGUGGAGUGAGUAAUAUGACAGUUAUAAACAUGAUUACAGUAUAGAAUGGGGACAUUCAAGCCUGUGAAAUUGAUAUUAUUUCUGCAUACCUGUACCUAAUAUAAGGUAAUACCACUAUAUAAACAUACAUUGUCUUCUUUUAUAAUGUGAUGUUUCUUGGUCAAACUAUAACCUUGGACCAUUAUUUCACAGGCUGAAUGCCRUCACUCUGUUUGUUUCCAAUGUGAAGAAUGUGUCUGAGUAUGAGAGGCAACAGGAUAGGAUAACCUGUACAGCUUUAAUUCCCCUAUUUUCUCAUUCCCCUUUCCCCAAAAGAGCUGCAUAGACUUAGGAAAGGGUGGCAAAAGGUAGUAACCUGGAUAAAACUCUUGUACAGAUUUUUUGUGUAAUAUGCAUCCAUGUAUCGAUUUGCACUGAAUUUUCUUUUGUGGUUUUUUGAAUUAAUGUCAAAAAAACACUACAAGCAAAAGAGUUUUAGUCUUGGAUUAAACUAUAAGGACUUUCAUCUCGCUGUCUCUGAAAAAUAUAAGAAGACCAUUUGCCACCCUUGCCUAUAGGAGAUGCUCUCAAUGCUCUCCCAUGGAUAACCACAGCAGGGACAAUCAUUAAACAAAAUGGACUUCAACCUCUGAAUAAACAAGGGAAACUGGGGGUGUGAACUGGUUUAAUGGUAUUGAUGAGAAUCCACAGGGCUUCACAGUUGAUUGCAGGCACCACAAAGCCAGGGGGGACGGGGGAUAUUUUGAAAACAUUGGAUUGUGGAGAGAAUAUGUGAAGCAUAUAUGAUGUUAUUUUGAUUACUUUUGUUGUUUCGGUGUUUUUUGUGUGUGUCUGUCAGAAUGAACUGUUGAAGCCUCUGUGGUGACAGGAUACUUUAAAUCUGAUAGCAGACUAUAGCUGGCUAUACCCGAAAUUCAAAAAUGUCAAUUUUCUCAAUUUUGGUGACGAAUUUAAUAUCUUAAUCUUAGAAUGAUGUUUUGGUCACUUCUGGUGUGAAUUUAGGGUAUAACAGUGAAUAUUAUGGACUUUCUUUUUGACAUAGGCGAAUUGGCAUUGUGUGAGUUGUCCUAUUAUAUUAUACUGAAGGAGCUGGUGCGCAAACAAGACUGAUAUUAUUUUUAUGUAAGUAAUAGUUUGACUGAGAUGUUCCAAAAAAUAUGACUUCAAAAAAA